CCCACUAGUGAUGAGAUUAAUACCGCCCCAGUCUGAUGACUGUGACUGAUAGGUUGUUCUGAGUGGC
ensembl:snoRNA SNORD31 Small nucleolar RNA SNORD31